UCUAGCUUCAUCCAUGUCCCUACAAAGGACAUGAAUUCAUACUUUCUUAUGGCUGCAUAGUAUUCCAAGGUGUAUAUGUGCCACAUUCUCUUUCAGUCUAUCAUUGAUGGGCCUAACAACUUUUAAAUCCCAAGAAUUUUCCACUUCAGUAAACUUUCCACAUAGUAAAAUGACCAAUGAAAGUAUUCCUGAUGUCUCAUAUGUAUUUUAGAAGUUAGCUUUCUAACCAUUCGGGGUAGAUGAAUGGAAACUCAGAAUUGGAUGGCACUGCAAACAUUCUGGCCAAAAUGAAGAUCCCAGGUUAGAACUCUCACAUUUGUUUUGCUGGUUCACUCUGCCCGUGUUCUACAAAAGCCCCAGUUGCAGUCUGAGCUGUGGCUCAGCUUCCUCUCCUCAUCAUAGAAUGUUGGCUCUGGGUAAUCCUCCCCUAACCUGCCCAGUCUCAGUUCUGAAAUGUUUGCUAAUGUUGCUUGCCAUUUCUUUGCCAAAACCUACUCAUUCAAUUCCAUUUGACCUGGACAAUUCGACGGACACAAAGGCUGAAAACACUGCAGAAAAAUCAGUCUCCAUGUGCUCAUCAGAGAUUUUGGUGACUGAAUCUUAUUUUGGGUGGUGGAAGAUGAAGUUAUAAAUCAGGAUGUUUUUAAAAUAGCUAAACUCUACGUAAUGCCUCUAUGAUUUCCAAGUGAAAAAUAAACUCAAAGGAAAUUUGAAAUGUAAAAGUCUGUAAAUCUUUGUGAAUGUUAUGAAUUUUGUACCAUAUUCAUGUAUUCCUUUGGAAAAAAAUUGAAUUAUUUAAAAUAAAUUAAACAGAAGAGUCUUGUAAUAAUAGAUUUGAACUCAGA
rnacentral:lncRNA from 10 species